AGGUGAAGUUCCGACCCGCAUGAAAGGUCCAACGACCUGGGCGCUGUCUUGACCGGAGGCUCGGUGAACUCGAGGCACGGGUGAAAACGCCCGUGACCCGCGGUGGGACAGAAAGACCCCGUGGAGCUUUACUGCAACCUGGUGUUGGGUCUUGGCAUCCGUUGUCUAGGAUAGGUGGGAGGCUGAGAAGCCCGGGCGCCAGCCCGGGUGGAGCCGUCCUUGGAAUACCACCCUUCGGCUGCUGAGGCUCUAACCGGAGGCCGUGAAAAGCGGUCUUGGGACAGCGCCAGGCGGGCAGUUUUGCUGGGGCGGCAGCCUCCUAAAGGGUAACGGAGGCGCCCAAAGGUCCCCUCAGGCGGGUUAGCGAUCCGCCGUUGAGUGCAAGGGCAGAAGGGGGCUUGACUGCGAGGCCUACAAGCCGAGCAGGGGCGAAAGCCGGGCCUAGUGACCCACUGGCUCCGUGUGGAAGGGCCAGUGAUCAGCGGAUAAAAGUUACCCCGGGGAUAACAGGCUAGUCUCCCCCGAGAGUCCACAUCGACGGGGAGGAUCGGCACCUCGAUGUCGGCUCACCCCAUCCUGGGGCUGCACCAGGUCCCAAGGGUCGGGCUGUUCGCCCGUUAAAGGGGUUCAUGAGCUGGGUUCAGACCGUCGUGAGACAGGUCGGUCCCUAUCUACCGCGGGCGCAGGAGGCUUGAGGGGGUCCGCUCUCAGUACGAGAGGACCGGAGCGGCUGGGCCGCUGGUGUACCAGUUGUCCCGCCCGGGGCACAGCUGGGUAGCUAAGCCCAGAUCGGAUAAGGGCUGAAGGCAUCUAAGCUCGAAGCCGACCCCAAGAUGAGGCCUCCCCAUCAGGGCCCUCCGAGACC
rnacentral:rRNA from 1 species